UUGAGAGUAGCUUAAUUGGUUGAGCAUUAGACUUUUAAUCUAAUGGAUGUGGGUUCAAAUCCCAUCUCUCUUAAA
rnacentral:tRNA from 1 species